rnacentral:rRNA from 1 species
GACGAACGCUGGCGGCGUGCUUAACACAUGCAAGUCGAACGGAAAGGCCCUGCUUUUGUGGGGUGCUCGAGUGGUGAACGGGUGAGUAACACGUGAGUAACCUGCCCUUGACUUUGGGAUAACUUCAGGAAACUGGGGCUAAUACCGGAUAGGAGCUCCCGCUGCAUGGUGGGGGUUGGAAAGUUUCGGCGGUUGGGGAUGGACUCGCGGCUUAUCAGCUUGUUGGUGGGGUAGUGGCUUACCAAGGCUUUGACGGGUAGCCGGCCUGAGAGGGUGACCGGCCACAUUGGGACUGAGAUACGGCCCAGACUCCUACGGGAGGCAGCAGUGGGGAAUAUUGCACAAUGGGCGGAAGCCUGAUGCAGCAACGCCGCGUGCGGGAUGACGGCCUUCGGGUUGUAAACCGCUUUCGCCUGUGACGAAGCGUGAGUGACGGUAAUGGGUAAAGAAGCACCGGCUAACUACGUG